rnacentral:rRNA from 1 species
GAGCCUGAGAAACGGCUACCACAUCCAAGGAUGGCAGCAGGCGCGCAAAUUACCCAAUCCCGACACGGGGAGGUAGUGACAAUAAAUAACAAUACGGGGUUCUUUCGGAUCUCGUAAUUGGAAUGAGUACAAUUUAAAUCUCUUAACGAGGAACAAUCGGAGGGCAAGUCUGGUGCCAGCAGCCGCGGUAAUUCCAGCUCCAAUAGCGUAUAUUAAAGUUGUUGCAGUUAAAAAGCUCGUAGUUGAAUUUCGGGGUUAGUAGGUUGGUCAUGCCUCUGGUAUGUACUGAUCUCACUGAUUCCUCCUUCCUGAUGAACCGUAAUGCCAUUAAUUUGGUGUUGCGGGGAAUUUGGACUGUUACCUUGAAAAAAUUAGAGUGUUUAAAGCAAGCUAACGCUUGAAUACAUUAGCAUGGAAUAAUGAAAUAGGACGUUCGAUCUUAUUUUGUUGGUUUCUAGGAUUGACGUAAUGAUUAAUAGGGAUAGUUGGGGGCAUUAGUAUUCAAUUGUCAGAGGUGAAAUUCUUGGAUUUAUUGAAGACUAACUACUGCGAAAGCAUUUGCCAAGGAUGUUUUCAUUAAUCAAGAACGAAAGUUAGGGGAUCGAAGACGAUCAGAUACCGUCGUAGUCUUAACCAUAAACUAUGCCGACUAGGGAUCGGAUGAUGUUAUUUUUUAAUGACUCAUUCGGCGCCUUACGGG